rnacentral:rRNA from 1 species
UGGGGAAUAUUGGACAAUGGGGGAAACCCUGAUCCAGCCAUGCCGCGUGAGUGAUGAAGGCCUUAGGGUUGUAAAGCUCUUUCGCUAGGGAAGAUAAUGACGGUACCUAGUAAAGAAGCCCCGGCUAACUUCGUGCCAGCAGCCGCGGUAAUACGAAGGGGGCUAGCGUUGUUCGGAAUUACUGGGCGUAAAGCGCGCGUAGGCGGGCUGUUAGGUUGGGGGUGAAAUCCCGGGGCUCAACCUCGGAAUUGCCUCCAAAACUGGCAGUCUAGAGUCCGAGAGAGGUGAGUGGAACUCCGAGUGUAGAGGUGAAAUUCGUAGAUAUUGGGAAGAACACCGAUGGCGAAGGCAGCCAUCUGGACCGGUAUUGACGCUGAGGCGCGAAAGCGUGGGGAGCAAACAGGAUUAGAUACCCGCGUAGUCC